AAUAAUAUACGAAGGCGCAGUAUUCUAGUCAACUAGUACAUGCGAGGGUGCCGAAAUAAGCAUCGCUGGCACAACUAUGAAGUUCGUGGUGUCGGCCUUGAUUGCCCAAAUUGGGGCUGAUGCUGGGAGUUAAGAUUUUUGGGACGCAUAUAACGGCAUAUAUGUUUACCCCAAUUAUCGCGGAGACUUAAGUGGGUAGAGAUAUAUGUAUCAACAUGUUAUCUAUCGCUUAGGCUGGAAACCUGCAUAUGACGAAAGUUAUGUGCAGUGUAGCCUGCUUUGAGUGGUCAAUCUGGGAUAGGGCGAAAGCUCAUCUCUUUCAAAGUACACGAUUUUGAUGAGUUGCUCUUGAAAUAUUGAACGCAAAAUUAAGAUAAGUAUGGACGAUGUUGUCAAGGAAAACUUCUAGACUGUUCGUAUGAGACAUUUUGGGGAUUAUAGUGUGGUCUCAGUGGCGAUUCGGUGCAAGUCUUGCGUAAAGGGAAACCGCUUGUCUGGUAACGGAGAAGUGCAAGAUUGGGAAAUCCAACCGAACCUUAUGCCGCAAGGUUUACUCAGAAUGUUGCCUUCGUACUUU
rnacentral:sRNA from 1 species